GGAAGGAUGGCCGAGCGGUUUAUGGCGCUAGUCUUGAAAACUAGAGUAGGCGCAAGUCUACCGGGGGUUCAAAUCCCUCUCCUUCCG
rnacentral:tRNA from 1 species